rnacentral:rRNA from 1 species
AGAGCGAACGCUGGCGGCGUGCUUAACACAUGCAAGUCGAGUGCGCAGUUUUCUGUAGCAAUACAGGAAACCGGCGCACGGCGCACGGGUGCGUAACACGUGGAUAACCUGCCCUCCAAAGGGGGAUAACCCCGCGAAAGCGGGGCUAAUACCGCAUGACAUUCCGAGAACCUCGGUUUUUGGAAUCAAAGCCCGCAAGGGCGUUGGGGGAGGGGUCCGCGGCCGAUUAGCUUGUUGGCGAGGUAAUGGCUCACCAAGGCAAUGAUCGGUAGCCGGUCUGAGAGGAUGGCCGGCCACACUGGAACUGAGACACGGUCCAGACUCCUACGGGAGGCAGCAGUGGGGAAUAUUGCGCAAUGGGCGAAAGCCUGACGCAGCGACGCCGCGUGGGGAUGAAGCUUCUCGGAGUGUAAACCCCUUUCGACCCGGACGAACGCCCGCAAGGCUUGACGGUACGGGUAUAAGAGCCCCGGCUAACUACGUGCCAGCAGCCGCGGU